CUAUUACCACCAUAGAUAUCUCAUAUACACUAGAUAGCGCAUCCCACCCUGUAGGCAGGCGAAAAUUGAAGCCUGAUCGCAGUCGCAGUUUACGCGCGGCGGCCAUAUUGGUCGUUCCCCCGGAGCGUGAUAAUUUGUAUAUUUUGUAUUGCGGAAAUGGACAAAGUUGACAAUAAAUCCUCUUUUAUGCAGUCAAUUUUGGUUUUUCAAGUGUGCAACUUGUUGUAAAUGAUGCCAGAUCGUUGGAGCUUCAUAUUGUGAAUAACGGGUAGGCAGAAUUUAAUUUUUUAUUUCGAAAAUAUCAAUAUUUGUCGACCCGUAUGAAGGGCGCCCAUAGGACAAACCUUAUGGACAAACCAUCAUUGUUGAUGCAUAUAUAAAUAUAGUUCCACCAAUUCCAAAUAAAACAUUUUGAGCCAUCGCCAUUGCUUCAUGGCAAAAUUGUGAAUGUAUCUGCAUAUUCUUUUGUAAAAGACAGCGACACUGAAAAACAUAUUUUAGUCACAGUUUAUCAAUGGCAAAAAUAGACUUAAAAUCUUAAAUAGUCAAUAUAUAAAACAUUGACACCAAAAAUGGUUCUUACUCCUUACUAUUUGUAUAUUUAUUACAUACAUACAUGCAACAUAUAUAUUAUUUUAUAGUUCCAUGGAAUCACAUCAAGAUUAAAAUGUGUUAGAAGCUAGAGAAGAAUAAUUGCAACUUUAUAGUAUAUUCGCAGGCAAUAUAACAUAAUUGAUAUUGCUUUAUGUAAAUGUAGUUGAUAAUCAAACUUUCUAAAACCUUCAAUUGUAUGAAUGCUUCAAACUAUCUUUAAUAUUUGAUGUUAAGAAAUAUUUCUUUCUGUUGAGUCCUAGACCUUUUGUUUUUAAUCCAAGCAAUCAAACUGCCAAAUUACUGUAAUUAUUAACAGCAUAGGUCAUUGAUAAUCAGCUGAAUUUUAAAACUGCUUUGGGAAACCCUAAGUAGAUUUUAUAAUCUUAAAUAUAGUUGCACUCAC
rnacentral:lncRNA from 1 species